rnacentral:rRNA from 1 species
UACGUAGGGUGCGAGCGUUGUCCGGAAUUAUUGGGCGUAAAGAGCUUGUAGGCGGUUUGUCGCGUCUGCUGUCGAAAAUCCGGGGCUCAACCCCGGACCUGCAUUCGAUACGGGCAGACUAGAGUUCGGUAGGGGAGUCGUGGAAUUCCUGGUGUAGCGGUGAAAUGCGCAGAGAUCGGGAGGAACACCAGUGGCGAAGGCGGCUACCUGGACCAGCACUGACCACUGAGGCACGAAAGCGUGGGGGAGCAAACAGGA